rnacentral:rRNA from 1 species
ACGCCCUUCGGGGGAAAGAAUUUCGGUGAGGGAUCGGCCCGCGUUAGAUUAGUUAGUUGGUGGGGUAAUGGCCUACCAAGACUACGAUCUAUAGCUGGUUUGAGAGGAUGAUCAGCAACACUGGGACUGAGACACGGCCCAGACUCCUACGGGAGGCAGCAGUGGGGAAUCUUAGACAAUGGGGGCAACCCUGAUCUAGCGAUGCCGCGUGAGUGAUGAAGGCCUUAGGGUCGUAAAGCUCUUUCGCCUGUGAUGAUAAUGACAGUAGCAGGUAAAGAAACCCCGGCUAACUCCGUGCCAGCAGCCGCGGUAAUACGGAGGGGGUUAGCGUUGUUCGGAAUUACUGGGCGUAAAGCGCACGUAGGCGGAUUAGUCAGUCAGAGGUGAAAUCCCAGGGGCUCAACCCUGGAACUGCCUUUGAUACUGCUAGUCUUGAGUUCGAGAGAGGUAAGUGGGAAUUCCCGAGUGUAGAGGUGAAAUUCGUUAGAUAUUCGGGAGGAACACCAGUGGCCGAAGGCGGCUUACUGGCUCGAUACUGACGCUGAGGUGCGAAAGUGUGGGGGAGCAAACAGGAUUAGAUACCCUGGUAGUCCACACCGUAAACGAUGAAUGCCAGUCGUCCGGGUAGUAUACUAUUCGGUGACACACCUAACGGAUUAAGCAUUCCGCCUGGGGAGUACGGUCGCAAGAUUAAAACUCAAAGGAAUUGAC